rnacentral:lncRNA from 1 species
GGACCACCCAUUCCAAUAGUUGCAACUGACUCAUCAUUAUUGUAUGACAAUUCCAAUGGCCGAUACGCACCAGUGCGCGCACGUGCCUCCAAUGUAUAUAGACACAUUGGACUCAUUAUCACACAACUAAUGGGAGGCUAUGACGUGGUCAUCUCCAUUAACCAUAUCAUUUUAUGGACCUAAUAAUUUAGAAGAUUUUAUAAUAAAAAGCUGACUCAAUCCAAAUCCUCCCACUGACUUCAUAAGUCAGGUAUCAUAGGAAAUAGAUUCAAGUCAGUGCACCUAAAUCAGUCCAACUGAUUUUCUUACAGGCAUGGGUCAAUUAGAGUCAAUCAGAGAUCUGAUCAAAAGAGAUUCACCAAGAU